rnacentral:rRNA from 1 species
UACGGGGGGGGCAAGCGUUGUUCGGAAUUACUGGGCGUAAAGGGCUCGUAGGCGGCCAACUAAGUCGGACGUGAAAUCCCCAGGCUCAACCUGGGAACUGCGUCCGAUACUGGAUGGCUUGAAUUCGGGAGAGGGAUGCAGAAUUCCAGGUGUAGCGGUGAAAUGCGUAGAUAUCUGGAGGAAUACCGGUGGCGAAGGCGGCAUCCUGGACCGACAUUGACGCUGAUGAGCGAAAGCGAGGGGAGCAAACGGG